rnacentral:rRNA from 1 species
AUUGAACGCUGGCGGCAGGCCUAACACAUGCAAGUCGAGCGGAUGAAGGGAGCUUGCUCCUGGAUUCAGCGGCGGACGGGUGAGUAAUGCCUAGGAAUCUGCCUGGCUGUGGGGGAUAACGUCCGGAAACGGGCGCUAAUACCCCAUACGUCCUGAGGGAGAAAGUGGGGGAUCUUCGGACCUCACGCUAUCAGAUGAGCCUAGGUCGGAUUAGCUAGUUGGUGGGGUAAAGGCCUACCAAGGCGACGAUCCGUAACUGGUCUGAGAGGAUGAUCAGUCACACUGGAACUGAGACACGGUCCAGACUCCUACGGGAGGCAGCAGUGGGGAAUAUUGGACAAUGGGCGAAAGCCUGAUCCAGCCAUGCCGCGUGUGUGAAGAAGGUCUUCGGAUUGUAAAGCACUUUAAGUUGGGAGGAAGGGCAGUAAGUUAAUACCUUGCUGUUUUGACGUUACCAACAGAAUAAGCACCGGCUAACUUCGUG